GGACCCCUGGACUGGGAACCCCCAUAUACUGUGGGUGCGGCCCUAAAAAGCAGAAGAAAAAAAAGAAAAUGUAUUCUGGAUAGAAACUACAGGGAGUAGCAUUACUCUGGACCUGUUUUAAGUGCAUUUUAAGCAGAUUAGGUGAAUAUGCUGUUUCCUGCGGCGUAUUUUGAGUACAGUGCAUUUACUGGGGGCCCGCAGUUGAGUGCCGGAUUAUGUAGUCGGAAGUUAUCUGCGUUGCUGACCCUCCUUGGCCCUCAGGUACUCCAUCUGUAAUGACAGGAUUGGACUAGGUGGGCUUUUUAAAGGCCUUUCUUGUUCAGUUACUUUUAUGAUUUUGUCUUGAAGAGCACCAGCGUUUAUUUAUUGACACCCCUUUGUGCCAGGAAGCAUAUCCAAGACACUGAGUACAUGUGUUAGCUCAUUUAUAUGUAAUGGUUUAAUCUCUAUUCGGUCCCAGUGAGAAUAGGUGUUAUCCUGGCUUCAUAGAUAGUGCUGAGGCUCAGUGAGCCUAAGUCAUUUACCUGUAGUUAUGUUGUCAGUUAACUGUAGAGUUCAGAUUCCCACUCAUUCUAAGCUCGUGUUCAGUUCCAUCUUUACUUAUGCAGCGGCUGUUUUAAAAUAGAUCCGUUUCCUUAAACAUUUACAGCUCUUGUCUUAAGUAAAAGUUGAAUCAGGUGUUUUUUUUUUUUUUUUUUUUAAAUAGACUUUUCAGCUGUGCUCAAGUCAGGGGUUUAGGAGUGAGGUGAGCAGGUGGCGUGGGUGGAGGCCAGCUCAUCUGGCAAGCUCACAUCCACCUCCACGCAUCUCCAUGAAAGGCCUGCUUUGAACGUGCUCCCACCGGAAUGCCUGCUGGAUGCCCAGGCUGGGCGAAGCUCAGCUGUUGCCAGGAGCUCCAGGGAAUGGUGGUGACCUGGGGGAGAGAGGAAGAGGCAGAGCUUGAUCCUGAACUGUUCUCUUGCCCCUUUGUGCCGCCAGGCAUUUGAGGCCCAUGGCAGCACUCGAGUGUUUGGAGCCUGAAAGUUGACUCUGUCAACCACCUGCUUACUGGCUGGGCGACCUUGUGCAAAUCACCCCACCUUUUUGAGCCCAGGCAGCUUCGUUCCCACGUCCACCAGCAGUGCUCCUGGAGGCUCUCCCCUGAGCCACACACUGUUCUGGGUAAGAGAAGCUAUGUCUUGAAGCUUUGUUUGGAUUGAUGAAGAGCUUCCCUUUCCCAUCCUUGAAAUAGGGACGUGGAUCGCAGGGAUCUGCCUCCUGGGGUCUUUUGAAGAGUAAUGAGAUGCCUGAUCAACCCACCUCCCGGGCCAUUCCCCAGAGCUGCCUGGGUUGGUGUCAGUUGGUGCAUCUUUGGCUAGAGUCCUUGGCUGCCACAGAUGGCCUUGUAGCUGUUCCACCCGGGCCACAUGCCCUCCAGCUCAGCGGAAGGGCACAUGGUGCGGAGGAAGCACCCAGCACAGUGCCCAGCCCUGGCAGUCUCCAGUACGUGGGGUUUCUUUUUCCCAACCCCUUUUUUCCCCUUUUUUGGAUAAAGAAAUUCUACCAUGUGGCAACUAUGAAAUAGGGGCUGGGAGGCUGAGCGAGGAGUGGUGAAAGUUU